rnacentral:rRNA from 1 species
UUUUUUGAAUGAAAAAUGAUCAUACUGUGGGGACGAAAGUCUCGCUUUUAACUAAUAGCAACUUUCAGCAGUGGAGUCUAGGCUCGCACAUCGAUAAGAACGCUGCGAACUGCGAUACUAAUGCGAUUGCAGGAUCAUGAGUCAUCAAAUUUUGAACGCAUAUUGCACUUUCGGGUUCUGCCUGGAAGUAUGUCUGUAUCAGGUCCGUACACUAAAUGCUUCUUGCGUCGUGUAGUCGUCGCUGGGAAUGCGCAGAUGUGAGGUUUUGUCUUGCUCUGGCUCGAAUUCGUUGGGCAGGAGCAAGUCCCUUUAAAGUCGACGUGUUUUCUCUCUGCGGUGUGCUGUUCGGCGCUGGCGGC